UACAGAGGGUGCGAGCGUUGUUCGGAAUUAUUGGGCGUAAAGGGCGCGUAGGCGGUGCGGUAAGUCACUUGUGAAAUCUCCUGGCUCAACUGGGAGCUUGCAGGCGAAACUGCCGUGCUGGAGUGUGGGAGAGGUGCGUGGAAUUCCUGGUGUAGGAGUGAAAUCCGUAGAUAUCAGGAGGAACACAGGUGGCGAAGGCGGCUGCCUGGACCGAUAUUGACGCUGAGACGCGAAAGCGUGGGUAGCAAACAGG
rnacentral:rRNA from 1 species